rnacentral:rRNA from 1 species
GAUGAACGCUGGCGGCGUGCCUAAUACAUGCAAGUCGAGCGAACGGACGAGAACCUUGCUUCUCUGAUGUUAGCGGCGGACGGGUGAGUAACACGUGGAUAACCUACCUAUAAGACUGGGAUAACUUCGGGAAACCGGAGCUAAUACCGGAUAAUAUUUUGAACCGCAUGGUUCAAAAGUGAAAGACGGUCUUGCUGUCACUUAUAGAUGGAUCCGCGCUGCAUUAGCUAGUUGGUAAGGUAACGGCUUACCAAGGCAACGAUGCAUAGCCGACCUGAGAGGGUGAUCGGCCACACUGGAACUGAGACACGGUCCAGACUCCUACGGGAGGCAGCAGUAGGGAAUCUUCCGCAAUGGGCGAAAGCCUGACGGAGCAACGCCGCGUGAGUGAUGAAGGUCUUCGGAUCGUAAAACUCUGUUAUUAGGGAAGAACAUAUGUGUAAGUAACUGUGCACAUCUUGACGGUACCUAAUCAGAAAGCCACGGCUAACUACGUGCCAGCAGCCGCGGUAAUACGUAGGUGGCAAGCGUUAUCCGGAAUUAUUGGGCGUAAAGCGCGCGUAGGCGGUUUUUUAAGUCUGAUGUGAAAGCCCACGGCUCAACCGUGGAGGGUCAUUGGAAACUGGAAAACUUGAGUGCAGAAGAGGAAAGUGGAAUUCCAUGUGUAGCGGUGAAAUGCGCAGAGAUAUGGAGGAACACCAGUGGCGAAGGCGACUUUCUGGUCUGUAACUGACGCUGAUGUGCGAAAGCGUGGGGAUCAAACAGGAUUAGAUACCCUGGUAGUCCACGCCGUAAACGAUGAGUGCUAAGUGUUAGGGGGUUUCCGCCCCUUAGUGCUGCAGCUAACGCAUUAAGCACUCCGCCUGGGGAGUACGACCGCAAGGUUGAAACUCAAAGGAAUUGACGGGGACCCGCACAAGCGGUGGAGCAUGUGGUUUAAUUCGAAGCAACGCGAAGAACCUUACCAAAUCUUGACAUCCUUUGACAACUCUAGAGAUAGAGCCUUCCCCUUCGGGGGACAAAGUGACAGGUGGUGCAUGGUUGUCGUCAGCUCGUGUCGUGAGAUGUUGGGUUAAGUCCCGCAGCGAGCGCAACCCUUAAGCUUAGUUGCCAUCAUUAAGUUGGGCACUCUAAGUUGACUGCCGGUGACAAACCGGAGGAAGGUGGGGAUGACGUCAAAUCAUCAUGCCCCUUAUGAUUUGGGCUACACACGUGCUACAAUGGACAAUACAAAGGGCAGCGAAACCGCGAGGUCAAGCAAAUCCCAUAAAGUUGUUCUCAGUUCGGAUUGUAGUCUGCAACUCGACUACAUGAAGCUGGAAUCGCUAGUAAUCGUAGAUCAGCAUGCUACGGUGAAUACGUUCCCGGGUCU